UUUCAAUGUGUUUAUAUUUGCAUUUGCAAGUUUACAUGUUUAUAUAACUUCAAAAUUUUAAUGUUUUUUGAUAAAUGUUUUAUAUGUUGAUGUUUAUCUCCCUCUUUCACUCUCUGUCUUCCUGCCCCCCCCCCCCCCCCCUCUCUCUCUCUGUCGCUCGACCUCCACAGAGCUCUCUCACUGUCACUUCCUGCCGUGUUCUGAUUGGACUGUUUCAUCUUUGGCCCCACCCCUUGUGACAGAUCGUGAUGUCAAACAUUAACGUGUCUCUGGAAAACCCCUACGGGGAGGUGCAGAUCCCCCGGGCUAAGCUCCGCCCCUCUGAUGAUGCCAUGGUGAUCGCCAAUCCGAUGACUCUAAACAGUGACAAUGGGAACCCGUACGGCGUAUCAAGCUCCGCCCCUCCACCAUAUAUGGUGAAGGAAGCAGGGGGGGAGGGGGAGGAGGGGGGGAGGUGUCGGGUGUGCUGCUACCGCUGUAGGAGGAGGAAGUGAUAUCACUGCGGCGGGAGGAAUGUGAUUGGCUCAGACUUAUUUAUUUACUGCUGAUGAAUUUCCUUCGCUCUGAGGGAACAGUGAAGGAAACAACAAGUGAAGGAAACGAGGAGGCAACGAGGGAAGGAGGAAGUGAGAAAAAAGGAUAAAGCAAAUCACAAAAGGAAAGGAGAGAAGGAGAAGAAACAAAGGCAGGACACAACAAGUCAAUGAAAAAGCAAAAAAAAAAAAACUGAGUUAAAAUCUUUUCAAAUGACAAAACACCAUCUUAGCGAGGUCAUGUGACCUGAUCUGGGUUAGGAGGGUCAGUAGAGAGCUGUUACCAAUCAAAUCCAUUAAAGAGUUCGUAAUGUAAACGCAUGUUUUUGAGGAGAUUAAAGCUCCCCAUGGUCAUGAGAGGGGAGUUUUAAUAAUGUUAAUAUUUUUAUAUAAACAUUGUUAAACAUUUAUCGGAUCAUUAAAACUCUGACUGAACGCCAUGUUCAUGUUUUUUUUAUAAACAAUAAAAAUGCGUCACGUACAGAUUCUGAUCCAAAUUCGCUCAUUAGGAAAGAGUUUGUAUUCCAAUGUAGAGGGGGGGGGGGUUAUGCUGAUCAUUAUUCUGAAUUGCGUCCAUGUAAACGCUUUUUCCGAUCAUGACUCUCUGUUGGGGCAAAGCUAAACUGACUGCACAUGUGACCCAGACGCUAACUUGACGCAUUUCCGCCAUUAAUGACGAAACGUAAAGAUGGUGGGAUCCAGGAGCGACUGUCUGUCUGACAGAACUUUGUUAAAGUCCAGCCUCCUCAUGUGACGCAGGAUCAGGAUGUGCUGCUGGACCUGCCUGAUAAGCAUGAACUGGGCUCAGGUUGUUCUAAGUGAUGGGGAAACUCCUGAACCGAAUGACGUAAGCCUCGACUGCGUUUGUUGGUUUGUUGGCAGGACAGGCGUAAAUACAACUCUUUUUCUUCUUCUUCCUUUUCUUCUUCUGUGGUUGUUUUAGCAAAGUUUGAGAACUCUUCACGUGUCCAAAUGUUUCUAAUCUGAAUUAAACUUGGUGCUCGUAAACGAGCGUCAUGAUCGAAUCGUUGGGUUUCACGCCCAUUUUCACGGUGGAUUCGGAUUUUACGAUCCUUCAAAAUUUUAAUCGGAUUAAGAAAUUUCACAGAUGUAAACAUGGCUGAUGUGUAAAGGGGAGGUGUCGUCUCUUAAUGACCUCCAGAAAGCAGAGGGAGGGUCGGCGCUGACAGGAAGUCCUUCUUCUGUGAGGGUAACCAUGAGGUCUGACGCAGAGUGGAGGGGGAGGAGUCAGCUGGAACAGACGGUCAAGGGUUUUUUAUGAUUGGAUAUCCGACUGUCUAAAAACACGUUUGUUUUUUUUUCGAUCACUCGCUCAUCUUCAGGAUGAAAUAAGAGUUCUCACUUUGUCCACAGGGGGGCGCCAAACUGACGAUCAAAGGUCGUCACAGGAGCUUUAAUGAAUCGAAUCAGACACUGAGUCUGUUAUUAUGAUUGAUAUGAACUGAUAUUAUGAAUGAGUGAACGAAGAUGAAGGAGUUAAUCUGAAAAUUGCUGUGAUACUUGAUUAAAUCUGUACUCACUGUGAUAAAAGUCUUCAAGUCUGUUUGUUUGGGUUUUUCAACAUUAUUUAUGUAAAGUUAUGACAAUAUUAAUAAUUUAUGAAUGAAUAAUCUGAUCUGUUUUUGUUCCACAUGGUGACGCCUGUCAGGAGGAGUUUGUAUUUUACAUAAAGUAUUUUUAUAUUUUCAUAACCAGGACUGGAGUUUGAAGGAGAUUUAAUAAGAGACUUUAAAUAAAAACAGUAAAUCAACAUGAACCUGCUUGAACGGAAUUAUCUUCAAAAUUAAG
rnacentral:lncRNA from 1 species